rfam:Camelus ferus unplaced genomic scaffold scaffold1712, whole genome shotgun sequence.
GGAUGUGAGGGCAAUCUGGCUGUGACGUUUGUCACCCCAUUGAUUGCCAGGGUUGAUUUGGCUGAUCUGGCUGGCUCAGCGGGUGUCCCCUUUCUCCCUCACUGCUCCAUGUGCGUCCUUCCUGAAGCUGCGCGCUUGGUCGAAGAAGACCACCAUCCCCGAUAGAGGAGGACCGUUCUUCUCCGUCAAGGGUAUACGGGUAGCUGCGUUCCCCUGCUAGAACCUCGAAACAAGCUCUCAAGAAAGGGUUGAGUUGAUGACAGAGAAUAAGAGUGAUUGGUCUCAGC